UACUCAGCUGCCCUUUCGCACAUCGACAUACCUCCUGCAGCAGCGCCUUUUUUCCUCUAGCCAAGUUCUCCCGCUGCCAUGGACUCGGAGGAAAGCAACGUUUUCACAGACCUAAACCUGGCCUAUGAAGUGGUAUCUGCCAGGCACACGGAGCUCUGCAGAUGUGAGAGAAUACCGUGCGAGGAAAGCGCCUGCAGUGCAGAGCUACAGAGGUGUGCAAACGACAGCGUCACAACUGACACAACGAUAAAAAGGCUGGAGGGCGAGCUGAUCGAAACCAAGAAAAUGCUAUGGGCAGCCGAGGAUAUUAUUAUUGAUGAACGCAUACUUGCGGCAAAACUAGAGCGGUCACACCUGCCGCCUGAACCCAGUCUCCUGCUUUCCCUUUCACUUUUUUUCAACUUUUGUGCUGUCGCUGGAGUCUGCUGUCUACUCCUGCGGCGCAUUUCACACCGACUAGAUUGAAUCGCUCUUCUGCACUUCCGCGUCUUGCUUCCUGUUGCUGCGAAACAGUGUUUAUUUGGGAAGCCAUGCCCUUGAUCGGCUUGCAUGUCGCCUUGCAGUUCCCCGCGACUACGACUGAUGCGAACGGCAAGCAGUGGCGCUGCCAUCAAAAAACGUGAAAAUAGUAGAACAUUGCACUUGGCCUUGCUUAGACUGCAUUGAACUCUUCAUAGCACAUUUCCAUCUUUUGCCUUUUUGUACCACUUCUAUUCCCUAAACCUUCGACGUCUCAGGUGCGCUCACGUGCUCAGGGAAGAAAACAAAUCCUUCGUGACAGCUUGGCUUUCCAUGUGCAUCUGCACCGCAAGCUGCGUGAUGAUAGCGGCUUGUCUGCCCUUUUUUCACUGGCUUGUGACUUGCUCUGGGGCACAACUAUGUGAGCAGAGGAGCCAAGCGUGCAGCUUUCUGCAGGACAGACUAUCCGUAGUAUGCUUCGAGCCCCUUCAACGCCACAGUUAACAGUGGCUCUUCCUAGCCUUUCCUGCACCUUUCUCGUCCUUGUCCUUUGCUCGCAUCUUCUGCCUCUCCCUUUUAG
rnacentral:misc_RNA from 1 species